rnacentral:rRNA from 1 species
GACGAACGCUGGCGGCGUGCUUAACACAUGCAAGUCGAACGGAAAGGCCCUGCUUUUGUGGGGUGCUCGAGUGGCGAACGGGUGAGUAACACGUGAGUAACCUGCCCUUGACUUUGGGAUAACUUCAGGAAACUGGGGCUAAUACCGGAUAGGAGCUCCUGCUGCAUGGUGGGGGUUGGAAAGUUUCGGCGGUUGGGGAUGGACUCGCGGCUUAUCAGCUUGUUGGUGGGGUAGUGGCUUACCAAGGCUUUGACGGGUAGCCGGCCUGAGAGGGUGACCGGCCACAUUGGGACUGAGAUACGGCCCAGACUCCUACGGGAGGCAGCAGUGGGGAAUAUUGCACAAUGGGCGGAAGCCUGAUGCAGCAACGCCGCGUGCGGGAUGACGGCCUUCGGGUUGUAACCCGCUUUCGCAUGUGACGAAGCGUGAGUGACGGUAAUGGGUAAAGAAGCACCGGCUAACUACGUG